rnacentral:rRNA from 1 species
CCCUUAGAUGUUCUGGGCCGCACGCGCGCUACACUGACGAAGUCAGCGAGCAUGUCCUACGCCGACAGGUGCGGGGAAUCUUGUCAAACUUCGUCGUGAUGGGGAUUGAUUAUUGAAAUUCUUGAUCAUCAACGAGGAAUUCCUAGUAAGCGCAAGUCAGCAGCUUGCGCUGAUUACGUCCCUGCCCUUUGUACACACCGCCCGUCGCUACUACCGAUUGAAUGGUUUAGUGAGAUCUUCGGAUUGGCGCCACUGCGGCUCAGCAAUGGGCUCGGUGGAUGCCGAAAAGUUGAUCAAACUUGAUCAUUUAGAGGAAGUAAAAGUCGUAACA